UCCUCAUUAAUGCUUCUUCUCAUCUUGAGAUAUUCUCUACAUAUAUCCCUGAUUUAGUUAGAAGCUUCAUUGUUGCUCUUCUUCUCUACCAAAUUAUUAGCAUGUCAUAUUUAAAAGCAAAACUCUCAUUGUUUGGUCACCUAAUGCCCACUUUUGUUUUAUUUCUGAUUCUGCUCCCCGGUGCUUCUGUUGCUAGGCAUCCUUUUAACCAGGAGGACUGCCGCUCUACUUUCUGUGGGAAUUUGAAUAUCAGUUAUCCAUUCCGAUUAAAAAACCAACCUCCCCAGUGUGGUUGGCAUGACCUGGAACUUGAGUGUGAGAAUAACAACCACACCACUUUGGUUUUGAGAGAAGGGAAAUUCUCUGUCCAAAAUAUUUUUUACGAAAAUGAAACAAUCCAAGUGAUGGAUUCAAGCUUGGACAAAGAUGAUUGCAACUCCCUUCCUCUCAGUUCAGUGUAUUUCUAUUAUUCAGAUGGAUCAUAUUAUAUUUUUUCUCCUCGUAAUUAUACUUCUUAUUUGAGUCCUUUUUCUUUUCAUUAUUAUAAUUAUAUUACUUUUUCUUCUUAUUAUAAGAAAAGAGAGUCACAGCUUAGCAUUAUGUAUGUUGUGAAUUGUACGAAACCUAUAAGAUCAUCUCAAUAUAUCGACGCCUCUCGUUGUACCACCAAAUCCAAUACCUCUUCCCCUCCAACAUCUUUCUUCUAUUUUUUAGAUGAAAAUACAGUGCUAAAUCUCAAUCAAGCUUGCAUAGUGGAAGCUGUGGUUCCUAUUAUGGUUAAGAAUAUAUCAGGCAUGUCUACGUUGACUAUCUACAACAAGCUAUCUGAGGGUUUUUACCUUUCAUGGAAUUAUCAGCAGGGCGACAGACUUCCUCUGUAAGUUUCUACUAGUAUUUAAGUUACAUACCCUUAGGUUGAGUAUGAUCAACUUUCUUAUUUUCUCAGCUAAAGUAAAAUAUAAAACUAAAAUCCGAAAAGGGUAGAUCUAACCCAAACGGAUUGAAAAGUAUAGUGACAAAAACACCUUAAUCCAAUCCAAUCUCCAAAGUGAAAGUAAAAAAUAGAUGAGCAUUAAAUUUUUUGGCUCAGACCAACUGCAUCUGCUUUCUUUUUCCUCUAUUUUUGAGUUUUUGUUUGAACCACUUCUUUUAAUUUGUUUGUUUUUCCUCUGCAGUUUACACUAAAAUAUAAAAAUUAGUCUUAUGCAUUUCCGCUGAAAUUAAAAAAAAAAGUAUUCAUAUUAAAUAUAUAUAAAAAAAAAGCUUGAAAUAAAUAAAGAAGAAUAGAAAUGAAUAGUGGAUAAAACUGAAAAAAAUAAUUGCAUACAUAUUCUUCAGAGGAGUAAAAAAUAAAAAAUAAAAGUGCGUUACUAAAUAAAUAAAACAUUCAAUAUAUAUAUAUAUAUAUAUAUCUUUUCAUGAGAUACCAUUACAUAACAUAAAAAAUUCUUAAAAUUUGUGAUUUUAAUAUGAAAUACAUGUUAAUAAAAUUUGACUUACUCUACUGGAUACUGCAGAUGGCUACUUUAUAUUUUUGGCGUUUGGAGUACUUAUGGAAUAGGUAUGCAUACGGUCUCACUUUUACAUACACCGAACAUUAGACUUUGUUCCGUUUUAAAAAUUAUUUUUUAUUUUCAUUUUCUUAUUCAGAAAAAAAAUAUUUUAAUUGAAAAAUAUAUUUGGUAAAUAAAAAUAAAUAUUUUUAAUAAUAAAAACAUUAAAAUACGUUUAGUAAUUUUUUCUAACAUAAAUAAAAUAAAAAAAUUUAUAUUCCUAUGAGUUCAAAUCACGAUACACAUUUAAGAUUGGAAAAACCCUAGGCUAAAAAAUUUAAAAUAUUUUUCAAAAAUUUCAAAGUUCAAUAUUUUUCAUUUUCUAAAAAAAAGAAAAUAAAAAUAACACAUUUUUUAAACUAAAUGCCACUUUAGAUUUUCCUCUGCCAAAAUAAAAUUUAUUUUGAGAAUGUAGAUAAUACUUUGAUUUCAAAAAGUACCGACGUUUUCCAAUAUGUUUUUCUUGACAGUUGUUUCCAUCGUACUGAGGCUCUUCAUUGGGAUACCUUGUUUGCUUGUGCUUGUAAUCUACAAAUGGAGAAGAAGACAUUUAUCCAUGGAUGAUAAGAUUGAAGAGUUCCUUCAAAGCCAUCAUCUAGCUCCAAUUAGAUACUCUUUCAAACAAGUUAAAAAAGUGACAAAAAAUUUUAAAGAUAAAUUAGGUGAAGGGGGUUAUGGUUCAGUGUUUAAAGGAAAGCUUCGUAGUGGGCAUCAUGUGGCAAUAAAAUUGUUGUGCACAUCAAAGGGAAAAGGCCAAGAUUUCAUAAAUGAAGUUGCUUCUAUUGGAAGAAUUCAUCAUGCUAAUGUGACCAAACUUAUUGGAUUUUGUGUGGAGGGAUCAAAACAAGCUCUUGUGUAUGAUUUCAUGUCAAAUGGAUCGUUAGAUAAAAUCAUAUUUUUUGAAGAAAAAAGGAACACUUUAGGCUGGAAAAAACUAUUUGAUAUUGUCCUUGGGGUUGCUCGAGGAAUCGACUACUUGCAUCAAGGAUGUGACAUGCAAAUUUUACACUUUGAUAUCAAGCCACAUAACAUUCUUUUGGACGAGAACUUUAACCCAAAAGUUUCAGAUUUUGGUCUUGCUAAGUUGUACUCAGUAGAUGAUAACAUUGUCUCUCUCACUACAGCACGAGGAACAAUAGGGUAUAUUGCUCCUGAAUUGGUUUACAAAAAUCUUGGAGGCAUUUCAUACAAAGCUGAUGUUUAUAGUUUUGGAAUGUUGGUGCUAGAAAUGGUAGGAAGGAGAAAGAAUUUGAAUGCAUUUGCCGACCACACUAGCCAAAUAUAUUUUCCAUUUUGGAUUUAUGACCGGUUAGAUCAAGGAGAGGACAUGGAGCUAGGAGAUAUUUCUGAUGAUGAAAAAGUAAUGAUAAGGAAGAUGAUAAUAACAGCCUUUUGGUGUAUACAAUUAUUGCCUUCUGAUCGUCCUUCAAUGAAUAAAGUGUUGAAAAUGCUUGAAUCUAACGUUGAACUCCUUGAGAUGCCUCCAAAGCCAUUUCAUCAAGUUCCUCUUGAAACAUCAACGGAGGUUGAUAAUUGUGAGAACUCUAAUGAUGAGGAAAGUAGGUCAUUGGAUGUUGUUACUAUAACCAGUUUUAAUGUCGUUUAAUAUUGGAAACAUUUCCUUUCAUUAUCUUACAUUUGUAGCAUCGUAUAUAUUUUGCCUUUCAUAUAUAUUAGUAUCUCGAUAUGUGUAUUGUAUUUGUACAUAAAUAUGUAUUUGAAAAAUAAAAGUUGUUUUGGUUUUUAAAUAAAUAAUACUGAAGUGAUACUUUGUAGGAUUGUUGAGCUCCUUCACAACGUAAGUGUCUUAUGAAUUGAUGCAAAAGGAGGCUUGAAAUAGAUAGGAGAUAAGGGAAAAGUAAACAGAGAGGAGAGAAAAUAUGUUACGGUGAUUAGUUAAAGCACUUAGUCUUCUUCACAUAGUUGAAUUUGACUACUCAAAAUAAGACACUAGGGUAGAAUAAUUGAUGUAUAAUAUACCAAACAAUUGUUAGCUUAUGAUAUCCAUUCUCCAUUAUCGUCUCCCUUACAAUUUUACUUACCAUGUCAAAACCAGAGACUCAGUUGUCUUUUCUUUUCUUUUCUUAAGAAGAAUUGACUUGCAUAGACUUAGUGGCUUAUUAUAGUGGGUUGGAAAUGAUGUCUCCUUAUCUUUUUUUUUUUUUUAAAGAAAUAUUUUACAAAAAUAAUGAUAAGGAAGAUGAUAAUAACAGCCUUUUGGUGUAUACAAUUAUUACCAUCUGAUCGUCCUUCAAUGAAUGAAGUGUUAAAGAUGCUUGAAUCCAAUGUCGAACUCCUUGAAAUGCCUCCAAAGCCAUUUCAUCAACUUCCUCUUGAAACAUCAACGGACAUUCAUAGCUGUGAGAACUCUAAUUAAUGACGAGGAAAGUGGGUCAUUGGAUGUUGUUACCAUAACCAGUUUUAAUGUCGUUUAAGAUUGGAAACAUUUCCUGACAUUAUCUUACCUUUGUAGCUUUAUAUAAUUUUUUCCUUUCGUAUGUAUUAGUAUCUUGUGUGUGUAUUGCAUAUGUACAUAAAUUAUUUAAAAAUCAAUGUUUGUUUUGAUUUUAAAUAAAUAAUAUUGAAGUGAUACUUUGUAGGAUUCUUGAGCUCCUUCACAACAUAAGUGUCUUUAUGAAUUGAUUCAAAAGGAGGGUUGAAAUAGAUAGGAAAUAAGGGAAAACUAAACAGAGGAGAAAAAAUAUAUGAUAUAGUGAUUAGUUGAAGCACUUAGUCUUCUUCACAUAGCUGAAUUUGACUACUCAAAAUGAUUGAUGUAUAAUAUACCAAACUUGUGAGCUUAUGAUUUUUGUUCUCCAUAAUCAUCCCGGCCCCUUACAGUUUUACUUAGCAUACCAAAAAUAGAGCCUCAAUUCUCUUUUUUUUUUUUUCCCCCUUAAGAAGAAUUGACUUGUAUUGACUUAGUGGGUCAUAAUAGUGGGGUUGGCAACCACGUCUCCUCUUUUUUUUUUAAGAAAUAAUUUACGAAUUUUAUUGGUUAAAUUUGGUUUUUUGUCUUUAUAUUAUUUUUUAUAUUUUAAUUUGGUUACUUUUAACCUCUAUGUUUUUCAAACUUAAGAGUACAGUCAUUGCAAAAUGGUAGUUGUUAAAUUCAUUAAGUUCUACUAAUUUCAAAUUUUGGCAUGGCAAACAUAUUUCUACAUGUGUAUUGCAAUGUUAACUUGUUAUUUCUACAAAUUACUCACUAAAAACCUAGUUAAUAGAUUUAAUUCUCGUCAUUUGCUUCAAGAUUGAAAUGUCAAAAUUCAAAAAGUAUCGGGAUUGAAAUUUAUGGACUACAAAUACAAUUUUACAAAUAGUGAAAAUUAAUAGCAGAAUUCAACUAACCAAAUUUAACUACUACCUUUCCGUUAGUGUUAAAAAUUUCAAAAUUUAAAAAGUACAUAGAGUAAAAUUUGUUGAGGCAAGUUUUGGAAGCAAUAACUCAAGCAAUGACUGUAAUGCCCCAAUUUUUACCCGGCCCAUAAUAAACCAAUAAAAGUCCAGUUUUUUUUUUUUUUACAAACCCAAUUAAUAAACCCAAAUUACAUCAGCCAAGCGAGGCUCCUCCCCGUGCACACAUCGGCCUCCCCCACGUGUGUCUCGCCUCCAGCUGUACCUGUAGCAACAAACAACCAACGACAACAGCAAAAUAAAGGGAAAAACGACUAGUCUAUUAACUUGGUAACACUUAAAUUAGUUUAAUUAAAACCGACGACUAGUCUUUUAAUAUUAGUGAAAUUAUAGAUUAAGUCUAUGUUCUCCAAUUUGAUCAUUCUUAAUCCUUAUAUUUUUUGGAAAUUUGAAAUCCUAAUCUUAAUGCAACAUUAACUGACUUGUUUUUAAUAAUAUGAAGAAAUAGCAAUCUGUCAUGAUAUUACACAUGUUAUACUAUAUUUGCUAUAUAAGAUUUUGAAAAUAUUAGUGUAAUAGCCCAUUUUUGCCCGGGCCCAAAAAAAACCAAAAAUAAAUAAAUUAACAGUCCCAGUCCAUUUACAACAAACCCAACAGGCCCAAAACCCUAACGGCCGAAUAUGGCCUAAAAACUAAACGAAAUCAGAGAACCCUAGGGUUCCCUCCUCUCUCUCGCGCCGCAGCCUGCCCCAUGUGCACCCUUGGCGCGCACAACGCCCAAUGAUAACGCCUUCACCAGUGUUGCACCAAAAUGGCAAAGAUUUCUGCCCAUUGACUCCCCAUGACCUGCAAAACAGAUGAAAACAACAACCAAGAGACAAAAACAGUAGAGGCAGCGUAAUAGAAGUAUUUAAAAUAGUGAAAAAUAAAAGAAAAAGAUAUAUUGUAUUUUGUCUUUGGUUAUAUAAGCCCAGAAACAAAACGAUGUAAAAGGGGGGCUUCUUCCUUUUUUACGAACAUUAAUAAAAAAAACAAAAACAAAAAACAGAUCGAAGGUGAUUCUUCUUUACUUUUUUUCAUUCCUUUUUUAUUUUUAUUUUUAUUUUUUUCUACAUACUAAAUAAUAAAAAUACAAGAAGAAGAGGCUUACUAGAGGCACUCGGUGACCGAGCCUAGGGGGCAUUCUCCAUCGUCAGGGGGUCUACGCCACCGUCGGGCCAGAUCCGAAAGGAUGUUGGGGCUCUUCUCUUUCGUUUCGGCGUUGAGAGGGCUCAACCCCUGAGGGCACUGCAAGACAAGGGCCGAAAAGCCCAUUUUCUUUAUCACCAUCCACGGCCAUGACGGUCACGUGACGGACGGACGGUGGAACCCUAGCCGAAUUUUGGGGAGGGGUUGAAGUUUGAGAGAAUUUUGUUUGAUUUUUUUAGAGGAAAGGAGAAAAGGAAGGAUUUAAAAAAAAAAUUAGCUUUUAUAGCAUUAACAAAUGGCGUCGGCUUGAUCUUGGGGUUCAGAGGCCAAAAUGGCGUCAUUUUGACCUCUGACCUGUGACCCGACCCAAUAGCUCACGGGAUCCGCAUGUUUUUAUGGUGAAUGAGAUAUUUGCGCAUGGGGUCCCUCUGCUUUUGCGCCGUGAUGCAAUCUGGUCCCUUCAUUUCUUUUAUUUUGGCCCCAUAAAUUUUAUACUUGUUUCAUUUUGGUCUAUGCUGAAACGCUGUGCUUUAGGGCUGGGAAUAUUGCCCAUUCAGUCCCUAAUUCCUUAAGCGCGCUCCAUCUUAGUCCCGAGCCACCCUCUUUUAUUUAUUUGCAAUUUAAGCCUCAGAUUUUGGGUCCGUUUUUAAUUCAGUCCCUAGCCGGUUUAAUUGAUUUUAUUUAUUUAUUUAUUAAAAAUAGUUUUAUUUAAUAUUUCAUCUAAUAUUUAUUUAUUCACUUAUUUGCAAUUUUGAUCAAACUUACAUUAGUUUUUAUUUUAUUUAUUUAUUCAUUAUUUUUAAUAUUUACUUUUUUUAUUUUAUUCUUGCCAUUAUUAUUGCGAUUUUAUUCCGUUAUUUAUUUGUUAUUUUUCAAAUACUUUCGAAAAUUGGAUUUAUUAUUAUUAUAGUUAUUGUUGUGGUUAUUAUAUUGUCAUUUAUAUCAUUAUUUUUAUUCAUGCAUGUUAACAUUAAGAUUUAUCAAUAUCGAUGCUAUAUGUAUAUUUUAUUAUGCAUGUUAUGUCAUGGUUAUUUAAAAUGUAUGUUGAACUAUCAUAUUUAGCCACGUAUAACUCCUUUUACGUAUUAAACGAUUUCUCUAAAAAGCUAAUAAAUUAAACGUAUAUUUUUAGGCAUUUCAUUUCCUUUUUAUCCAAAUAAAUUUUUUUUCAAAAUAAGGAAAUAUUUUGCGUUUGAAAAUUCGAGAAAACGUGCCCUAACGUGUUGGUUUUCGAUUUCUCGUUCGACCAAAUAGCCAAAUAUCCUCUUAAAAUUUAGAAGUAUGGGUUUUGAAAACCAUAAGGUAAUCUCAGUUUUGAGGGUUUAAAGUAUUGUAUCGUAAUGUGUUGGAUGUGAUAUUAUUUCAGAACAAGAGAAUCCUAAAUUCCAACCCAUGUUAUUCGAGUUUUUUUAAGGAUCGUAUUUUUAAAACUCUUUAAAGUUUUCAAUCUUCGACACUAAGACAAUAAUUAAUCAACUAGGUACCAAUUUUGAGCUUUACGAGGGUGCUAAUCCUUCCUCGUACAUAACCGACUCCCGAACCGUUUUUUUUUUGAAUUUCGUGGACCAAAAUUGUUGUUUUAAUAAAAUCAAAUCGUUUAUUAAAAAAACCACUUUUCGAGGUGACCCGAUCACACCUCAUCAAAAAGGAUUGGUGGCGACUCUCGUAUUCGUUUUCAUUUUCAAAAUCAAAGUCGAUUCUGUUUUACAAAAAAUGGUUUCGACAAUUAGCAUAACUUAUUGAAUUUAAGAACUAUAUUUUGGUCAAGAUUGAAAUUUUAAAUUUUAAAAAUUACGAAAACUAAAAAUGGCCACAAGAUUGAAACUUUAAAUUUUGAAAAGUUCAAAAACUAAAAAUUAUACUAAAAAUAAUCAAAUUUAAGUACAAAAACUAAAUCCACAAGUUAUGCAUAAUUUAGGGAUUAAUAGUAGAAUUUAACCGAUACUUUUUUAUGAAUACCUAAUAAUUGUUCUCUGUAUUAAGUUACAAAAUAAAAAAGAGGAAAGGAAAUGAGGAUUGUGGCUAUCAGCCUCUUCAAUAUUUUUGUUUUUUAAAGAAGACUUCCAUUGUCUUGGUUGUCUGUCAUUGUCGUUAAUGAAAAGUCUUGCCCUCUUGAGGUAUUUCUAGGAAGGAAAAUAAAUGUUGUUUUGAUUAGUUGAAGCAUUUAGUCUUCUUCACAUAGUUGAAUUUGAUUAGUUGGAUAAGGUUUGCUUUGAUUAGUCAAAACCUAAAUUCAUUUUUUUAUUAAGUAUUCAAACAAAAAAAUUUCAACUCAAAUUCAAAUUUUGCAAAUGAAGCAUAAAUCCAAAUGAAACCAAAAGAUUAAAUGAAACCAAAAGAUUUUCAAUGUGGCUUGCGACGUAUUGGACUGGGAAAUUCCAUCCUCGACGAAGAUUAGUUGCUAAAUAUUUUUGGUCAAAUUCUUUUUUAGUCCUUAUAUAUUCAAUAACUUAUGGAUUUAAUCUUUAUAUUUUAAUUAGGUCAACUUUUUGUCCAUUUUCUUUUGAAAUUGAUCAAUUUUAGUCCCUAUAUUUUUAGAAUUAGGACACUCCAACAGCAUCUGUGAUCUACUGAGGUGGGUAAUUGUUGAAGCAUUAAUAAAUUUCUGAUGAGUUUCGAGGGCUAACAACACUUGUUGACGCCAUAGAAGGUCAUUAAAGACAUCAAGAACAAUAUUAAUUUUCUUGGUAGAGAACAAUCGGUUGUCCACAGCUCCUUCAGCAAGAUCGAUAAGAUUGCCUCGAGUUUCAGAAACACAUGGCGGAUCCAUGAUCGAUGGCUGUUGUGCCAUGCUAAGAUACAGCUAAAAUAUCAUGUUUGGCUACUAAGAAAGUAAAAUACAUGAGAGAAAGAAUCAAGAAUUUGUAUUCAUCAUACUUGAGAAUAUGAGACUGACGGACUUACAAUUUAUAGAACUUGAGCUGCACAACUAACUAUUGUUAUAAGCUAAACAACAACUAGUAAUUACAAUCUAACUAACCAACUGAUCAAUUGACUUAACAGUCAAGCUAACAGACUAGCUAACAGUUGAUAGAACUUGAGCUGCACAACUGCACAACCAAAUUAUGGCAAAAUUUUUCAAUGUCUUCGAAGAUGUUCAUCAUCCUUUAUUCCUUUUUUACAUCUUUUGUUCUUUCAGCAUUUGUUCCUUUUUUACAUAUUUCGAGAUGAUGUAUGUUGAGAGAGAGGAUUUUGAGCUUUCUUAACAUUCCUUAAUGUAUGCAUUGCUAGUUGUGUAACCAAAGGCUGCAGUUCUUCACAGUGUGGAAAUCUUACCAUUAGGUACCCAUUUCGAUUAAAAAUUAAAACUUGAAGAUGGAUUAAUCAAAACCUAAAUUCAAAUUUUUAUUAAAUAUUCAAACAGAAAAAAUUAAAUUUAAAUUUAAAAUUUUUAUCUCAAAUUCAAGUUUGCAAAUGAAGCAUAAAUCCAAAUAAAACCAAAAGAAUUUCGAAUGUGGCUUGUGACGUAUUGGUCAAAUUCUUUUGCUAGUCCUUAUAUAUUCAAUAAGUUAUGAAUCUAAUCUUUAUACUUUAAUUAGGUCAAUUUUUUGUCCGUUUUCUUUUCAAAUUGAUCAAUUUUAGUACCUAUCUUUUAGAAUUUUAAAUUUUAAUCUUGACUUGGUAACAGUUAAAUUGUCCAAUAUUUUUCAAAUUGAUCAAUUUAGUCCCUAUACUUUUAGAAUUUUAAAUUUUAAUCUUGACUUGGUAACAAUUAAAUUGUCCAUUUUCUUUUCAAAUUAAUCAAUUUUAGUCCCUGUGUUUUUAGAAUAUUAAAUUUUAAUCUUAACUUGGUAACACUUAAAUUCGUUUAAUUAAAACCGACUACUAGUCUUAUAAUAUUUGUGAAAUUAUAAAUUAAGUCUAUGUUCUCCAAUCUGAUCAUUCUUAAUCCUUGUAUUUUUGGAAAUUUGAAAUUCUAAUCUUAAUGCAACAUUAACUGACUUAUUUUUAAUAAUAUGAAGAAAUAGCAAGCUGUCAUGAUAUUAUACAUGCUAUAAUAUAUUUGCUAUAUAAGAUUUUGAAAAUAUUAGCAUAACUUAUUGAAUUUAAGAACUAUCAUUUGGUCAAGAUUGAAAUUAUAUUUUUGAAAAUUAAUAAAACUAAAAAUGGCCACAAGAUUAAAACUUUAAAAUUUGAAAAGUUCAAAAACUAAAAAUUAUACUAAAAAUAACCAAAUUUAAGUACAAAGACUAAAUCCACAAGUUAUGCAUAAUUUAGGGAUUAAUAGUAGAAUUUAUACAAUACUUUUUUAUGAAUACCUAAUAAUUGUUGUUCUCUAUAUUAAGUUACAAAAUAAAAAAGAGGAAAGGAAAUGAGCUGGGUUGUGGCUAUCAGCCACUUCAACGUUUUUGUCUUUUAAAGAAGACUUGCAUUGUCUUGGUUGUCUGUCAUUGUCGUUUAUGAAAAGUCUUGCCCUCUUGAGGUAUUUCUAGGAAGGAAAAAAAAGUAAUAAACUUGUUAUUCCAGUUAAAGCUCACAUUCGUCAAAGUCUUCUGUCCUCGUUAAUGCUUCUUCUCAUCUUGAGAUAUUCUCUGCAUAUUUCCCUGAUUUAGUUAGAAGCUUCACUGUUGCUCUUCUUCUCUACCAAAUUAUUAGCAUGUCAUAUUUAAAAGUAAAACUCUCAUUGUUUGGUCACCUAAUGCCCACUUUUGUUUUAUUUCUGAUUCUAUUCCCCGGUGCUUCUGUUGCUAGGCAUCCUUUUAACCAGAACUGCGACUCUACUUUCUGUGGGAAUUUGAAUAUCAGUUUUCCAUUCCGAUUAAAAAACCAACCUCCCCACUGUGGUUGCCAUGACCUGGAACUUGAGUGUGAGAAUAACAACCACACCUCUUUGGUCUUGAGAGAAGGGAAAUUCUCUGUCCAAAAUAUUUUUUACGAAAAUGAAACAAUCCAAGUGGUGGAUUCAAGCCUGGACAAGAAUGAUUGCAACUCCCUUCCUCUCAGCUCAGUGUAUUUCAAUUAUUCAGAUGGAUAUUAUAUUUUUUCUCCUCAUUAUUAUACUCCUCCUCAUUGGAGUUAUUUUUUUUCUCAUCGUUAUUAUACUUACUAUUAUAAUACUGAUUAUCUUAAAACUUAUUAUUAUAAUACUUAUUCCUCUUAUAAUAAUAAAAGAGAGUCACAGCCUAGCAUCAUGUAUGUUGUGAAUUGCACGAAACCUAUAAGAUCAUCUCAAUAUAUCAAUGCCUCUCGUUGUACCACUAAAUCCAAUACCUCUUCCCCUCCAACUUCUUUUUUCUAUUUUUUAGAUGAAAAUACAGUGCUAAAUCUCAAUCAAGCUUGCACAGUGGAAGCGGUGGUUCCAAUUAUGGUUAAGAGUAUAUCAGGCAUGUCUACGUUGACUAUCUACAACAAGCUAUCUGAGGGUUUUUACCUUUCAUGGAAUUACCACCGGAGCGACAGACUUUAUCUGUAAGUUUCUACUAGUAUUUAAGUUACAAACCCUUAGGUUGAGUAUGAUCAACUUUCUUAUUUUCUCAGCUAAAGUAAAAUAUAUAACUAAAAUCCGAAAAGGGUAGAUCUAUAGAAAAGUAUAGUGACAAAAACACCUUAAUCCAAUCCAAUCUCCAAAGUGAAAGUAAAAAAUUGAUGAGCAUUGGAUUUUUUGGCUCAGACCAACUGCAUCUGCUUUCUUUUUCCUCUAUUUUUGAGUUUCUGUUUGAACCACUUCUUUUAACUUGUUUGUUUUUCCUCUGCAAAUUAAUUUACACUAAAAUAUAAAAAUUACAGAGAGUUUGUGUGAUAAGUUAAUAAGACACUCAGAUAUACUUCUCUAAUAAAACUAGUCUUAUGCAUUGAAGAAUAGAAAUGAAUAAUGGAUAAAACUGAAAAAAAUAAUUACAUUCAGAGGAGUAAAAAAUAAAAGUGCGUUACUAAAUAAAUAAAUCUUUAUUUUUUUUCCAAAAAUUAUACCACGUACAUCAUAAAGUAUAUAGGAAAUUGAAACGAGAAAAAAAUAAAAUAAAGUUACUAAAAUGUAACGACUUUGAAACAUUUAAAAAUGCCUAACGAAUAAAGUCUUUGAAUACCAUUAUAUAACAUAAAAAAUUCUUAAAAUUUGUGAUUUUAAUAUGAAAUACAUGUUAAUAAAAUUUGGUUCACUCUACUGGAUACUGCAGAUGGGAUUAUGUUUCUGACCUUUUGUCUUCGAUCAUCGUCUUCGGAAUAGUUUGCGGAGUAGUUAUAAUAGGUACGCAUACGGUCUCACUUUUAUAUCUACCGAACAUUAUACUUUGUUCCGUUUUAAAAAUUAUUUUUUAUUUUCAUUUUCAUAUUCAGAAAAAAUAUUUUAAUUGAAAAAUAUAUUUGGUAAAUAAAAAUAAAAAUAAAUAUUUUUAAUAUUAAAAACAUGAAAAUACGUUUAGUAAUUUUUUUCUAACAUAAAAAAAAUAAAAAAAAUUAUAUUUCUAUGAGUUCAAAUCACGAUACACAUUUAAGAUUAGAAAAACCCUUGCCUAAAAAAAUUAAAAUCCCUUGUUCUCAUAUUUUUAAUUUUGCAAAAAUAUUUUUAGUAAAAACAAUAAAAAAUAUUUUUAUAUUUUUUAAGUUUCAUAUAUUUUUAUUUUUAUUUUUCAGAAAUUUCAAAGUUCAAUAUUUUUCAUUUUCUAAAAAAAAGAAAAUAAAAAUAGCACUGUUUUUUAAACUAAAUGCAACUUUAGAUUUUCCUCUGCCAAAAUAAAAUUUAUUUUUAGAAUGUAGAUAAUACGUUGAUUUCACAAUGCACUGAUGUUUUCUAAUAUGUUUUUCUUGAAAGGUAUUUCCAUCAUACUGAGGCCCUUCUUUGGGAUACCUUGUUUGCUUGUGCUUGUAAUCUAUAAAUGGAGAAGAAGACAUUUAUCCAUGGAUGAUAAGAUUGAAGAGUUCCUUCAAAGCCACAAUCUAGCUCCAAUUAGAUACUCUUUCAAACAAGUUAAAAAAAUGACUAAAAAUUUUAAAGAUAAAUUAGGUGAAGGGGGUUAUGGUUCGGUGUUUAAAGGAAAGCUUUGUAGUGGACAUCAUGUGGCAAUAAAAUUGUUGUGCACAUCAAAGGGUAAAGGCGAAGAUUUCAUAAAUGAAGUUGCUUCUAUUGGUAGAAUUCAUCAUGCAAAUGUGGCAAAACUUAUUGGAUUUUGUGUGGAGGGAUCAAAACAAGCUCUCGUGUAUGAUUUCAUGCCAAAUGGAUCGUUAGAUAAAAUCAUAUUUUCUGAAGAAAACAAGAACACUUUAAGUUGGAAAAAACUAUUUGAUAUUGUGAUUGGAGUUGCUCGAGGAAUCGACUACUUGCAUCAAGGAUGUGACAUGCAAAUUUUACAUUUUGAUAUCAAGCCACACAACAUUCUUCUAGAUGAGAAUUUUAAUCCAAGAAUUUCAGAUUUUGGUCUUGCUAAGUUGUAUGCAAUAGAUGAUAGCAUUGUCUCUCUCACUGCAGCACGAGGAACAAUAGGGUAUAUUGCUCCUGAAUUGGUUUACAGAAAUCUUGGAGGCAUUUCAUACAAAGCUGAUGUUUAUAGUUUUGGAGUGUUGGUGCUAGAAAUGGUAAGGAGAAAGAAUUGGAAUGCACUUGCCAACCACACUAGCCAAAUAAAUUUUCCAUCUUGGAUUUAUGACCGGCUAGAUCAAGGAGAGGACAUGGAGCUGGGAGAUAUUUCUGAUGAUGAAGAAGUAAUGAUAAGGAAGAUGAUAAUAACAGCCUUUUGGUGUAUACAAUUAUUACCAUAUGAUCGUCCUUCAAUGAAUGAAGUGUUAAAGAUGCUUGAAUCCAAUGUCGAACUCCUUGAGAUGCCUCCAAAGCCAUUUCAUCAACUUCCUCUUGAAACAUCAACGGAGGUUCAUAGCUGUGAGAACUCUAAUGAUGAGGAAAGUGUGUUGUUACAUAACCAGUUUUAAUGUCGUUUAAGAUUGGAAACAUUUCCUGACAUUAUCUUACCUUUGUAGCUUUAUAUAGUUUUUUCCUUUCGUAUGUAUUAGUAUCUUGUGUGUGUAUUGCAUAUGUACAUAAAUUAUUUAAAAAUCAAUGUUUGUUUUGAUUUUAAAUAAAUAAUAUUGAAGUGAUACUUUGUAGGAUUCUUGAGCUCCUUCACAACAUAAGUGUCUUUAUGAAUUGAUUCAAAAGGAGGGUUGAAAUAGAUAGGAAAUAAGGGAAAACUAAACAGAGGAGAAAAAAUAUAUGAUAUAGUGAUUAGUUGAAGCACUUAGUCUUCUUCACAUAGCUGAAUUUGACUACUCAAAAUGAUUGAUGUAUAAUAUACCAAACUUGUGAGCUUAUGAUUUUUGUUCUCCAUAAUCAUCCCGGCCCCUUACAGUUUUACUUAGCAUACCAAAAAUAGAGCCUCAAUUCUCUUUUUUUUUUUUUUCCCCCUUAAGAAGAAUUGACUUGUAUUGACUUAGUGGGUCAUAAUAGUGGGGUUGGCAACCACGUCUCCUCUUUUUUUUUUUAAGAAAUAAUUUACGAAUUUUAUUGGUUAAAUUUGGUUUUUUGUCUUUAUAUUAUUUUUUAUAUUUUAAUUUGGUUACUUUUAACCUCUAUGUUUUUCAAACUUAAGAGUGCAGUCAUUGCAAAAUGGUAGUUGUUAAAUUCAUUAAGUUCUACUAAUUUCAAAUUUUGGCAUGGCAAACAUAUUUCUACAUGUGUAUUGCAAUGUUAACUUGUUAUUUCUACAAAUUACUCACUAAAAACCUAGUUAAUAGAUUUAAUUCUCGUCAUUUGCUUCAAGAUUGAAAUGUCAAAAUUCAAAAAGUAUUGCGAUUGAAAUUUAUGGACUGCAAAUAUAAUUUUACAAAUAGUGAAAAUUAAUAGCAGAAUUCAACUAACCAAAUUUAACUACUACCUUUCCGUUGGUGUUAAAAUUUCAAAAUUUUAAAAGUACAUAGAGUAAAAUUUGUUGAGGCAAGUUUUGGAAGCAAUAACUCAAGCAAUGACUGUAAUGCCCCAAUUUUUACCCGGCCCAUAAUAAACCAAUAAAAGUCCAGGUUUUUUUUACAAACCCAAUUAAUAAACCCAAAUUACAUCAGCAAGCCCUAACCACAAAUAGAAACCCUAGCCUAACUCGAAGUGGCCCAUUUUCUUGAAGCAUCCAGAAACCCCUAGGGUUUCUGGAAUGAUUUGCGCCGCAGCCAAGCGAGGCUCCUCCCCGUGCAUACAUCGGCCUCCCCCACGUGUGUCUCGCCUCCAGCUGUACCUGUAGCAACAAACAACCAACGACAACAGCAAAAUAAAGGGAAAAACGACUAGUCUAUUAACUUGGUAACACUUAAAUUAGUUUAAUUAAAACCGACGACUAGUCUUUUAAUAUUAGUGAAAUUAUAGAUUAAGUCUAUGUUCUCCAAUUUGAUCAUUCUUAAUCCUUAUAUUUUUUGGAAAUUUGAAAUCCUAAUCUUAAUGCAACAUUAACUGACUUGUUUUUAAUAAUAUGAAGAAAUAGCAAUAUGUCAUGAUAUUACACAUGUUAUACUAUAUUUGCUAUAUAAGAUUUUGAAAAUAUUAGUGUAAUAGCCCAUUUUUGCCCGGGCCCAAAAAAAACCAAAAAUAAAUAAAUUAACAGUCCCAGUCCAUUUACAACAAACCCAACAGGCCCAAAACCCUAACGGCCGAAUAUGGCCUAAAAACUAAACGAAAUCAGAGAACCCUAGGGUUCCCUCCUCUCUCUCGCGCCGCAGCCUGCCCCAUGUGCACCCUUGGCGCGCACAACGCUCAAUGAUAACGCCUUCACCAGUGUUGCACCAAAAUGGCAAAGAUUUCUGCCCAUUGACUCCCCAUGACCUGCAAAACAGAUGAAAACAACAACCAAGAGACAAAAACAGUAGAGGCAGCGUAAUAGAAGUAUUUAAAAUAGUGAAAAAUAAAAGAAAAAGAUAUAUUGUAUUUUGUCUUUGGUUAUAUAAGCCCAGAAACCAAACGAUGUAAAAGGGGGGCUUCUUCCUUUUUUACGAACAUUAAUAAAAAAAAAACAGAAAACAGAUCGAAGGUGAUUCUUCUUUACUUUUUUUUCGAUUCCUUUUUUAUUUUUAUUUUUAUUUUUUUCUACAUACUAAAUAAUAAAAAUACAAGAAGAAGAGGCUUACUAGAGGCACUCGGUGAUCGAGCCUAGGGGGCAUUCUCCAUCGUCAGGGGGUCUACGCCACCGUCGGGCCAGAUCCGAAAGGAUGUUGGGGCUCUUCUCUUUCGUUUCGGCGUUGAGAGGGCUCAACCCCUGAGGGCACUGCAAGACAAGGGCCGAAAAGCCCAUUUUCUUUAUCGCCAUCCACGGCCAUGACGGUCACGUGAUGGACGGACGGUGGAACCCUAGCCGAAUUUUGGGGAGGGGUUGAAGUUUGAGAGAAUUUUGUUUGAUUUUUUUAGAGGAAAGGAGAAAAGGAAGGAUUUUUUUUUAAAAAAAAAAUUAGCUUUUAUAGCAUUAACAAAUGGCGUCGGUUUGAUCUUGGGGUUCAGAGGCCAAAAUGGCGUCAUUUUGACCUCUAACCUGUGACCCGACCCAAUAGCUCACGGGAUCCGCAUGUUUUUAUGGUGAAUGAGAUAUUUGCGCAUGGGGUCCCUCUGCUUUUGCGCCGUGAUGCAAUCUGGUCCCUUCAUUUCUUUUAUUUUGGCCCCAUAAAUUUUAUACUUGUUUCAUUUUGGUCUAUGUUGAAACGCUGUGCUUUAGGGCUGGGAAUAUUGCCCAUUCAGUCCCUAAUUCCUUAAGCGCGCUCCAUCUUAGUCCCGAGCCACCCUCUUUUAUUUAUUUGCAAUUUAAGCCUCAGAUUUUGGGUCCGUUUUCAAUUCAGUCCCUAGCCGGUUUAAUUGAUUUUAUUUAUUUAUUUAUUAAAAAUAGUUUUAUUUAAUAUUUCAUCUAAUAUUUAUUUAUUCACUUAUUUGCAAUUUUGAUCAAACUUACAUUAGUUUUAUUUUAUUUAUUUAUUCAUUGUUUUUAAUAUUUACUUUUUUUAUUUUAUUCUUGCCAUUAUUAUUGCGAUUUUAUUCCGUUAUUUAUUUGUUAUUAUUCAAAUACUUUCGAAAAUUGGAUUUAUUAUUAUUAUAGUUAUUGUUGUGGUUAUUAUAUUGUCAUUUAUAUCAUUAUUUUUAUUCAUGCAUGUUAACAUUAAGAUUUAUCAAUAUCGAUGCUAUAUGUAUAUUUUAUUAUGCAUGUUAUGUCAUGGUUAUUUAAAAUGUAUGUUGAACUAUCAUAUUUAGCCACGUAUAACUCCUUUUACGUAUUAAACGAUUUCUCUAAAAAGCUAAUAAAUUAAACGUAUAUUUUUAGGCAUUUCAUUUCCUUUUUAUCCAAAUAAAUUUUUUUUUUCAAAAUAAGGAAAUAUUUUGCGUUUGAAAAUUCGAGAAAACGUGCCCUAACGUGUUGGUUUUCGAUUUCUCGUUCGACCAAAUAGCCAAAUAUCCUCUUAAAAUUUAGAAGUAUGGGUUUUGAAAACCAUAAGGUAAUCUCAGUUUUGAGGGUUUAAAGUAUUGUAUCGUAAUGUGUUGGAUGUGAUAUUAUUUCAGAACAAGAGAAUCCUAAAUUCCAACCCAUGUUAUUCGAGUUUUUUUAAGGAUCGUAUUUUUAAAACUCUUUAAAGUUUUCAAUCUUCGACACUAAGACAAUAAUUAAUCAACUAGGUACCAAUUUUGAGCUUUACGAGGGUGCUAAUCCUUUCUCGUACAUAACCGACUCCCGAACCGUUUUUUUUUUUAAUUUCGUGGACCAAAAUUGUUGUUUUAAUAAAAUCAAAUCGUUUAUUAAAAAAACCACUUUUCGAGGUGACCCGAUCACACCUCAUCAAAAAGGAUUGGUAGCGACUCUCGUAUUCGUUUUCAUUUUCAAAAUUAAAGUCGAUUCUGUUUUACAAAAAAUGGUUUCAACAAUUAGCAUAACUUAUUGAAUUUAAGAACUAUAUUUUGGUCAAGAUUGAAAUUUUAAAUUUUAAAAAUUACGAAAACUAAAAAUGGCCACAAUAUUGAAACUUUAAAUUUUGAAAAGUUCAAAAACUAAAAAUUAUACUAAAAAUAAUCAAAUUUAAGUACAAAAACUAAAUCCACAAGUUAUGCAUAAUUUAGGAAUUAAUAGUAGAAUUUAACCGAUACUUUUUUAUGAAUACCUAAUAAUUGUUCUCUGUAUUAAGUUACAAAAUAAAAAAGAGGAAAGGAAAUGAGGGUUGUGGCUAUCAGCCUCUUCAAAAUUUUUGUUUUUUAAAGAAGAUUUGCAUUGUCUUGGUUGUCUGUCAUUGUCGUUAAUGAAAAGUCUUGCCCUCUUGAGGUAUUUCUAGGAAGGAAAAAAAAAGUAAUAAACUUGUUAUUCCAGUUAAAGCUUACAUUCGUCAAAGUCUUCUGUCCUCGUUAAUGCUUCUUCUCAUCUUGAGAUAUUCUCUACAUAUUUCCCUGAUUUAGUUAGAAGCUUCACUGUUGCUCUUCUUCUCUACCAAAUUAUUAGCAUGUCAUAUUUAAAAGCAAAACUCUCAUUGUUUGGUCACCUAAUGCCCACUUUUGUUUUAUUUCUGAUUCUGCUCCCCGGUGCUUCUGUUGCUAGGCAUCCUUUUAACCAGGAGGACUGCCGCUCUACUUUCUGUGGGAAUUUGAAUAUCAGUUAUCCAUUCCGAUUAAAAAACCAACCUCCCCAGUGUGGUUGGCAUGACCUGGAACUUGAGUGUGAGAAUAAUAACCACACCACUUUGGUUUUGAGAGAAGGGAAAUUCUCUGUCCAAAAUAUUUUUUACGAAAAUGAAACAAUCCAAGUGGUGGAUUCAAGCUUGGACAAAGAUGAUUGCAACUCCCUUCCUCUCAGUUCAGUGUAUUUCUAUUAUUCAGAUGGAUCAUAUUAUAUUUUUUCUCCUCGUAAUUAUACUUCUUAUUUGAGUCCUUUUUCUUUUCAUUAUUAUAAUUAUAUUACUUUUUCUUCUUAUUAUAAGAAAAGAGAGUCACAGCUUAGCAUUAUGUAUGUUGUGAAUUGUACGAAACCUAUAAGAUCAUCUCAAUAUAUCGACGCCUCUCGUUGUACCACCAAAUCCAAUACCUCUUCCCC
rnacentral:lncRNA from 1 species